rnacentral:rRNA from 1 species
AUACCUCUGUUGCUUUGGCGGCUCUUUGCCGCGAGGAGGCCCUCGCGGGCCCCCCCGCGCGCUUUCCGCCAGAGGACCUUCAAACUCCAGUCAGUAAACGUCGACGUCUGAUAAACAAGUUAAUAAACUAAAACUUUCAACAACGGAUCUCUUGGUUCUGGCAUCGAUGAAGAACGCAGCGAAAUGCGAUAAGUAAUGUGAAUUGCAGAAUUCAGUGAAUCAUCGAAUCUUUGAACGCACAUUGCGCCCCCUGGCAUUCCGGGGGGCAUGCCUGUUCGAGCGUCAUUACAACCCUCAAGCUCUGCUUGGUAUUGGGCGCCGUCCUCUCUGCGGACGCGCCUUAAAGACCUCGGCGGUGGCUGUUCAGCCCUCAAGCGUAGUAGAAUACACCUCGCUUUGGAGCGGUUGGCGUCGCCCGCCGGACGAACCUUCUGAACUUUUCUCAAGGUUGACCUCGGAUCAGGUAGGGAUACCCGCUGAACUU